UCAUUUUGAUUGGGAAAAACAAAAACUUUAGCUGUACGCUUAAGUUUUUUUGUGCGUCUUCCCCACCACUUUAGAAACACCCGGAAGUAUCUGAGAUUACGUCAUUGGUGUGUCAGCAAACCACGCCCAUGGAAGAUUUCUCUCCGUGCUUGCGUGGGUUUUCCCCGGAUACUCCAGUUUCCUCCCACGUUUCAAAAACAUGCUUGAUUGAACGCUCUUAAUAGUUCUUAGGUGCAAUUUUGAAUGUGAAUGGUUGGUUGUUCACGCGAGCCCCGCGAUCGCCUUGCAACCAGUUCAGAGUGUACGCCGCCUGCUGACCCAAGAGAGCUGGGAGAGGCCCUCUUGAGGCACAACGGCUCGGACAAAGGAUUGUGUGUGCGUGUGCGUGUUUAUAGGAAGGCACUUGUAAUAGACGCGUUCGGCCUGUGGAGGGAGCUAUUGACCUACACUCCAACCUGACGCGUACCAUUCACGAGUGGUUCUUCAACUUUGGAUCUUCUUAAAAUGGAGAAAUUCAGCGAGUCUAUCUAAUCUUUCGUGCCGUUGGUGAAGAUACUCACUAUGGAGCCGGGAUUGUGUAGUUAGGCGCAUUGUGAAGUCGCAGUGGGCCGGACAUGCUGAUGUACUUGCUGACAGGCUAAUUUUUAGAAACAUGCAGGCUUUUACACUUGAAGGUCGGCAUUCCAGAGACUCAACUAUUUUUUUAUAUGAAUAUGAAAAAAAAAACUAUUUUAAUUCAAUACCUAUCCAUAUAUCUUUAAAAUACAUUUAAUGUGUCAUACAGACAAAGCCGAUUUACAGUUGCAGGUGAACAGACAUAAGAACAAUCGUUUUAAAAUGACAGAAAUAUCCCAAAAUAAUUCUUGGAGUUGUGUCUCUGAAGUUAUUUUAGUUGCCAGAAAGCCUAAAAAUAACUGCGAAACAGGGACAUGCACUUAUCUAAUGCCAUUCAUUUGCGGUACAUUGUACAGUAUAUCAUUUACAACGGCCGUGUCUACCAUGCAUUUAGGUCACCGAUGGACUAAGGUUGACAUGCUUCACAGACAGUCACUAUAUGUCUAAACAAAAUACAAUCAUUUUACUAUGACACAAUACGUACUGAUUGAUAAUAUGCAGGGCUUGUCAUAUCUGAGCAUCUCCAAGAACAAAAGGCUCUUUUUUUAUAUUACACUAUACAUAUAUAUUUUGGAGAGAGUAAAGGUAUUUUUAAUUGAAGCCGUAAUGUUGAUUUUAGUCUAGUAGCCCUUGACAUCUGCAGGCGCAUGACACCCUCCAGUUGCGCUUUCCUGUUCCCAGAUGCUUUCUCCUGCCUCAGCCUGGACGCUGAACUCCCUGAAGAAGCGCUUAAAAGUUCCUCUCCGGGAAGGCAUAGAGGACUGGACUGAGGCUCCUGUUGGUGUAGCCCAGAGCCACGAAGAAGAAGUUGGCGGCCAAGAGUUCUUGACUCAGCAACUAAAACCCGUGAGCCCGACAACUCGAUUCAAUAGACCAAAUCAUCGGAGUCACGCACUCCUCCAAGCAAUGUCCACCAGGUCUACAGUGCAGUGGUGAUGUGGGGGUACGGCAGCCUCCCGCACCGCCUCCGGCGCUGCCUUCCUGCUCCUGGAUGCCUUCUCCCGCCUGAGCCUGGCUGAGGUGCAGAAGUCCUUGAAGC